UUUAGUCUUUUGAGUUUUGCCUGAUUCCAUAUCACCUUUAGGAUUGCUAAAAUUGAAAAAAGGACUUAGAACUACUUUUUCUAAGGCUAGAUCUAUUGUUAGGAGACCAAAAUUGAUUUAAUUUUGUCACAUACUCGUAUGUAACGCCAUUGAGUUAAUUAAUUAUGUCUACCACCAACUCAUUUGACUUUUUUUGGUUUUUAAUUAACUGAAGCAGAAGCUGCAAAUGGGAGGAAGAGAAACAGAAUUGAUGGUGCAGAUUCAAUGAAUAAUCCUCGGGCAAACCUUGUUCAUUGUUACAAUCAUAUCAAUGGCAAAGCCGCUGUGGUUGAUGGUUCCGAUCAAAUGAAUUUUCCUCAGGGAAACCUUGUUAAUGGUUACAAUCAUAUCAAAGGCAAAGCUACCAUGUUUGAUGGUUCCGAUCAAAUGAAUUUUCCUCAGGGAAACCUUGUUCAUUGUUACAAUCAUAACAAUGGCAAAGCCCCCAUAUUUAAUGGUUCCAAUCAAAUGAAUUUUCCACAGGGAAACCUUGUUCAUUGUUACAAUCAUAACAAUGGCAAAGCCCCUAUAUUUAAUGGUUCCAAUCAAAUGAAUUUUCCACAGGAAAACCUUGUUCAUCGUUACAAUCAUAACAAUGGCAAAUCUGUAUUUGAUGGUCAUCUUAAUCCGACUGUAACAACUAACUAUUUGGAAAAAAUUGCUUCCAGCUCUACUGUUUUUCCUCCUCCAUGAGAAGAAGAUGGGAUUGGAAGGACGAUGCUACAUGUUUAGGGAUUUCUUCGAUGGAACCAUUGCUAUUCGAGAUGGAGAUGAUGAUAAUAAAAUCGUGCGAGCAUAUGGUAUUAGCAGUUUGCCAAAUAAGAGUGCAACUUCAAUGAUUGAAGAGGAAGAUUCCCAUAGCACUAUGUCCUUGGAGCUAUCUCUCAAAUGAUUCUCUGAAAAUUCUCCUUCUUUAUCCAUGGAGCUAGGAAAAAGCAGUAGCGAUAAAUUAUUAGAGUUUGCUAUAAGACCAUACCUAAAACCCAGAAUGUCAAGACUUUGAUGGACACAUGAUCUUCAUCGCCAGUUUGUCCAUGCUUUUGAAUGUCUUGGUGGAGUUAACCUAUUUAUAUAUAUACACACACUAAUAAUUAGGAGCAACACCAAAAAUGAAUGUGAAGGGCCUUACCAUAUCUCACAUUAAGCCACCUCCAGAUGUACAGAAGCAUGAAACACGAACAAAUGCAAGAAGCUGUAAAUGGGAGGAAGAGGAACAAAAUUGAUAGUCCAGAUUCAGUGAAUUUUUCUCAGGAAAACCUUGUUCACCGUUACAAUCAUAUCAAUGGCAAAGCCACUGUGUUUGAUGGUUCAAAUCAAGUGAAUUUUCCUCAAGGAAACCUUGUUCAUUGUUAGAAUCAUAACAAUGACAAAGCCGCCAUGUUUGAUGGUUCCAAUCAAAUGAAUUUUCCACAGGAAAACCUUGUUCAUCGUUACAAUCAUAACAAUGACAAAUCCGUGUUUGAUGGUCAUGAAACCUAUGCCAGAGAAAAAGAUGAGAUUGGAAGGACAAUGCUACAUGUUUAGGGAUUUCUUCAAUGGAACCAUUACUAUUGGAGCAGGAUGGAGAUGAUGAUGAUAAAAUUGUGCGAGCAUAUGGUAUUACCUAUUUGCCAAAUAGGAGUGCAACUUCAAUGAUUGAAGAGGAAGACUCCCAUAACACUAUGUCCUUGGAGCUAUCUCUUAGUUCAGAUAUCUCACUUGACCUCGCUCUUGGUUAAAACCCUUUGGUCAGCUAUUUCCUCGAGGGAAAAAAAAACUCUUUUAGUUAAUCCUUAUUGAGUAUAUGCUAAUACAAGAUUUCUGUCUAAAUUUACCUAGCUUACCUAGGUUAAUUAAAACUUUGUAACUUAAUUAGUUUUAUCAUCCACCUGAGACUGGUAAUGGUGCAGCGAUAGUUUAUAAUGUAUAAUGGUUUAAUUUCAACUAAAACAUAUAUUAAUCGACUUAUCUAAAAGUUUAAAAAGGCUACAAGUCCGAGAAAGGGUAAGCUAAUUUUAUAUAUUUAAUUAUAUAUUUACGACACCUUGAUCCCCUUCAUGUGUGG